GUCUUCAAAGCAUUCGCCAUCUAGAGAGACACAGAGAUGAGGAGCCCAAGAGAUGAAACUGGAGAGGGUCAGCCCAAGAAGCAGGAAGCAGCAGUGCAGGGAGAAAAGAGUACUGGAUUUAGAGUCAGACACCCAGGUUCAAGUUCUAGUUUGCAGUUCAUAGAAGCAGUCUUCCCAGCUUGAUUUUAUUCACAGAAGAAAAAAGGCACCCCUGGGAAGUGCCUGACAAAAGCUUGAAGAGAGAAGAGGCUCUGCUGUGGUUUGAAUGCGUCCCCCAAAGUUCAUGUGUUGGAAACUUGAUCCCCGAUGCAGCAGUACUGGGAGGUGGGACCUUUGAGAGGUGUUUAAGUCAUGAGGACCCUGCCCUCAUGAAUGGAUUAAUGCUGUUAUUGCAGGAGUGGGUUUGUUAUCUCGGGAAUGGAUUUGUUAUAAAAAGAAAAGUUCAGCCCCCUUUUAUCUCUCACCCAUAGGAUGCCCUUUGCCAUGUUAUGAUCCUGCAGGAAGACCCUCACCAGAUAUGGCCCCUUGAUCUUGGACUUCCCAGCCUCCAGAAUUGUGAGAAAUAAAUUUCUGUUUUUAAUAAAGUUCCUAGUUUGUUGCAUUCUGUUAUAGCUGCACAAAGCAGACUGAGACAGGCUCCUUUACUCAUGGUGAAGAAGGUAAGUCCCUUAUGACUUUAUCAAAUAAAAAUAAUGACUACAGGUAAAGGGCUAGAAAUUUUUAGACAAAAGGCCAGUGGGUAUCACAGGGAGCUUUCCAGUUGGCUGUUUUGGCAGAAUGGCAAGACUUUCCUUCCUCAUUCUCAAAGCUUCCUGACAUUUACAGCUUUGGAAGGUGGUGAGUGAGAAAAUUUUCCAAGGGACUCUAGACAUUCUCAGAAUCCCCUGGUUCCACACUUGCUAGAUUAUGGAAGAGAGAAGAGACACCUAAAAGGAAAAAAAAAAGGAAGGAGAAAGGGGAAUCAGCUCUUUAGUCCCCUAAGACCCACUUGGCUGUGGCUCCUGGCUGCCAAGGGUUGCCUGUGAGUGGUUCUCCAGGCAUGAACUGUGACCACCCUGCUAUAGAUUAAUCCUUUCCUCCUACAAAGUUGGUCUUCAGUAUACUUAAUGAGGGAGAAAUGGGAUGUCUUUUUUUCCUUCCAGAAUCACUCUAGUAUGACCUGCAGAAUGAUUAGCGUGGCUCAGCCUCAGUUGGGAUAUCAUGGCUUAAAUUAUUCCUAUUAGUUUCCAGCUGACCUUGGAACACAAGCAUUACAUGUGAUUUCAAUGAAACUUUAGACUUUGUUGUUCUCAGUUAACUAGUGAAACAGUUGAACCUUCCCAUGACUUGUGGUAAUUAUAAUAAAGGGUAAGUAUUAUCACAAAUAAUGCAAACCGAUUUACAAGAUGGCAAAGUGAUGUUCUGGAAGUUGUGCGCAAAGACAAAAUGUGAACUGAACACUUAGAAAAAAUGUAGUGCCAUUCAAAAGGUUGAUGCAUUACUGCCAAAAUACAACCCCACCUGACAGUAUUACUUUACAGUGAGUUUUGGCACAACUCACUGGUUACAAGAAACAUUGUGUUAACAGGAAAAGCCACUUUAAAACUCUGUUUGAUACUUAAAGCUCUCAAAUACACUCUAAACGUUUAAACCAACACUCCAAACUGAUUAAAGCAUUUAUGGAAAAUAAAAGUGUUUUGCCAGUGGGGAAAGGAUGAGGAAUCUUUGUUGUUGUUGCUUGUUUGUUUGUUUUUAUCGAGGUGUAAAACAAAACCCCCAAAUUUGACAGAUUUCCCAGUUCUAAUUAAGUUUUAUGAGGUUAAGAGUUUAUGCCACCCUUCUCAAACAAUUUAUCCAAACUCAAUGGAUUUUCAAAUCACAUAUAAUGACCCUUCUGGCCUAGGAGAGGGAUGGUGUCCUCUUGAUGGCCAUAUUCCUACUGUGGAAUAUAAUUCCUGGCACAUAACAGAUGCUUAAUAAAUGUGUAAUGAAGGUGGGAACUGUGCCUCAUAAUUCACUUUGAAGCACAUCUAGCAACUCAUCAUAUUUAAAUAGUCAUUUCAGAGAUGUUUCAUAUACUCUGUUUUCUAGGACUGGAGUGUCAUAUCUCAGCUUCUCGCCCCUUGAUCUCCAUAUGCCUGGGAGGAAAUGGCAUGAAUGAGACUUGAAGCUAAAAAUGCACUUGCUGAUUUGAAGAACAUUAACUGUGGCUGUUUGUGACCUGGCUGGAAAGGACAACCCAUCAUCACAUCUACUGGUAAACUUAUGGUAUCCAGAAAAAGCCAAAGGACUCUAUUGCAAGACAGCAUCACCUGGCUGCAGAGACUUACUAAAUAAAUGCUACUACUUUCAAAUACACCAAGGAAUAAAAGAAUUUAUAUUUAAAGUGUUUGGAGAGUAAACAUUUUACAGUAUUUAUAACAU
ensembl:lncRNA LINC01877 long intergenic non-protein coding RNA 1877